AGAAAAGUUUUCCACGAAAAAGGUAAGCGUGAAGAAGAAGCUCUCUAGGGGUAUUUUAGGUUCUUUAAGUAGUGGAGACUGAAAAAAAAGAGUUAUAAUGUUUAAUGCAAAACAAUACUACUAAAGAUAAGGCCACAUAUGUUUCUAGAAAGAGAAAGAAAGAAAGAAGAAGAAAUCCAUGGGAAGAGAGAGAGAGAGAGAGAGAGAGAGAGAGAGAAAGGUCGGCGAAGUUGGUAAUGGAUAAUUGUGAUACCCUUACUGUAGCUGAGAACCCCUACCAAACAACGGGGAUCCAAUUAUCAACUAUAAAAGCAAGCCUUAUGGUUAUGGCAAGUAACACCCACAGCUCCAAAAUCCAAAUAUUUCACCAUGUUAACUGCCUUGUUCAUGUUCUUUACCAUCCUCAACAUUUACAUCCCACCACCACCACCACCACCACCACCGGUGCCACUUUUCUGGCCAGAUCCAACCCUCUGUCCACCUUCACCUCCACCUCUACCACCACCGCCGCCACCGCUAGUGUUUCCUCCACUCCCACCUUUCCGCCCAUUGCCCCCUUUCACACCACCACCACCACCACCCCCCCAACCUCUGUCACCACCAAACACCACACCACCACCAAGUAAAUCAUCACCAGCGCUGUACGUGCCGUUGGGUAUCUUAUCUCUAACAAUCGGCCUCGCAGUGGUCUUUGCCAUUGCUCACUACACCCGGCCUGGCAGAGAGGAGGAGAAUCCGGAGAGGACAACUGAGCCGCAGAACACAAACGGAGGGGUACCGGAGCCUCACGAAUUGGGCGGUGUGACUGUGACGAAUGUGCCUACUCGGCUUGCGAGGCUGCCGGAUCCGAUCGGGAGUCCUGCUCUUGCGUUGAGGGUGGCGGUGUAAUAGUAGUGAAGUGAAAGAUGGAUGACAAAAAAUCAAGAGCAGCAGCGCAGUUUCAUCCAUCCUUACUUCGGGGGCAUACAAUAUUGGAUUUUAGUAGUACUAUUAUAUUCUACUAUCAUGGGCACGUUUUAUGAAGAUUAUGUAUUAAAAUAUGGAUGGUAGUAGUAUGUGGUAGCAGUUUUCCCUGAAAAUGCAGUCUACCAAGAUGGGAAUUGGAAUGUUGGAAUUUCAGUUGUGUAACUGACAAUCCCUAAUGUCAUUUAAGUUUUUUCCCCAUGUUUAUUUAAUUAUCAUGUGUGAGUGUUUGAGGCAUAACUGGGAUUCUGGAAAUCAUAAAUGGGUUUAUUAAUGAUAGCAGUGGAAUUUGAACUGUGUUGUUUAUGAGAA